GCGGGCGUCGUAUAACGGCAAUACCAGACCCUUCCAAGGUCUUGCUAGGGGUUCAAUUCCCCUCGCCCGCU
rnacentral:tRNA from 1 species